UAGUCCACGCCCUAAACGAUGCUAACUCGAUAUUUGGAUCUUGAAUCUGAGUGUCUAAGCGAAAGCGAUAAGUUAGCCACCUGGGGAGUACGUUCGCAAGAAUGAAACUCAAAGGAAUUGACGGGGUCCGCACAAGCGGUGGAGCCUGUGGUUUAAUUCGAUGAUACGCGAGGAACCUUACCUGGACUUAAAUGUAGGUUGCAUAGAGUGGAGACAUUCUUUUCUUCGGACUACUUACAAGGUGCUGCAUGGUUGUCGUCAGCUCGUGCCGUGAGGUGCCGGGUUAAGUCCCAUAACGAGCGCAACCCCUAUCGUUAGUUGCCAUCAGGUUAUGCUGGGGACUCUAACAAGACUGCCCGCGUAAGCGGAGAGGAAGGUGGGGAUGACGUCAAAUCAUCAUGGCCUUUAUGCCCAGGGCGACACACGUGCUACAAUGGUACAUACAGAGGGUUGCAAAGCCGCGAGGUGGAGCUAAUCCCAGAAAGUGUAUCCCAGUUCGGAUUGG
rnacentral:rRNA from 1 species